AUUGAACGCUGGCGGCAGGCCUAACACAUGCAAGUCGAACGAGCGGCGGACGGGUGAGUAAUGUCUGGGAAACUGCCCGACGGAGGGGGAUAAUUACUGGAAACGGUAGCUAAUACCGCAUACCAUUGGAAGUGCCCAGAUGGGAUUAGCUAGUGGGUGGGUUAAUGGCUCACCUAGGCGACGAUCCCUAGCUGGUCUGAGAGGUUGACCAGCCACCCUGGAACGGGGACACGGUCCAGACUCCUACGGCAGGGAUCAGUCGGGAAUAUUGCACAAUGGGGGCGAGCCUGAUGCAGCCAUGCCGCGUGUAGUAUGAAGGCCUUCGGGUUGUUAAGUACUUUCAGCGAGGAGUCGUUACUCGCAGAAGAAGCACCGGCUAACUCCGUGCCAGCAGCCGCGGUAAUAC
rnacentral:rRNA from 1 species